UACAGAGGGUGCGAGCGUUGUCCGGAAUCACUGGGCGUAAAGGGCGCGUAGGUGGCGCUGCAAGUCGGUGGUGAAAGCUCGACGCUCAACGUCGAGUCGGCCAUCGAAACUGCAGGGCUCGAGCACUGUAGGGGCAGAUGGAAUUCCGGGUGUAGCGGUGGAAUGGCGUAGAGAGUGAUGGAGGAACACCAGUGGCGAAGGCGGCUCUCUGGUCUGUGAACUGACGCUGAGGCGCGAAAGCGUGGGAGCAAACAGGAUAGAUAC
rnacentral:rRNA from 1 species